UACGAAGGGGGCUAGCGUUGUUCGGAAUUACUGGGCGUAAAGCGCACGUAGGCGGUCAUUUAAGUUGGAGGUGAAAGCCUUGGGCUCAACCCAAGAAUUGCCUUUGAUACUGGAUGUCUCGAGACCGGGAGAGGUGAGUGGAAUUCCGAGUGUAGAGGUGAAAUUCGUAGAUAUUCGGAAGAACACCAGUGGCGAAGGCGGCUCACUGGCCCGGUUCUGACGCUGAGGUGCGAAAGCGUGGGGAGCAAACAGG
rnacentral:rRNA from 1 species